ensembl:lncRNA
AAGCGCCCUCUGCGGGAAUGAAGUCAUCCUACCCUUUUCUGGGUGCGCCCAGAUAACCGACCAGAGCGUUCCUUUCCCAAGCUCUGGGGCCUGAGGACUUCCAGCUACUCCACCAGGUUCUCAGGUCCUGGACUCCGUCCUAAUUCCUCACCUCCUACUGCGAGCCUUGCACAGGACGAGAGAAGCCACAAGCACAGAACUGAGACUUCCUAUCUGGUUAGCCAGCUGCUUCCAUACUCAGCCAUCGAUACGUUCUUCGAACUGGUCCUUCUCUUCCCUACAACUACCCAGUGACAACAGGGGUCUUCGGUCACUCAAGGCCAGAGACCUUGGCCUCUAGAGUAUGGAGGGAGCCAUCAGCUUGAUGCAAGCUCUUUGAAGCAGGAUAUAAAAACAUGAAGGCAACAGUCAGGCAUCAUAACAUUUUAUGGUGAACUGAAGAAACGCAGGCUUGCACAGGCCGGUUAACAUUUCAGAAGACAUGCCGGUGCUUGACCUAAAGCAAGGCGGCCCACAAGUGGACUGAAAAACAAUACUAGCUCUCUCUCACAGGGCUUGAGGAGGAGAGUGAUGAAGACGGUUUUUUUUUUUUUUUCCCCAGGUGGAAUAAAAACAAAAACAAAACCCAAAACCAACCAAACAAAAACACAGCCAAGAGGAUGGAGACCGAAGCAUUCCAUGUGGAGCCUCUACUGUUUUAGUUACCCUGAGAGAGGGGAGGACCCCUGACUUCAAUUGGAGAGAGACUACGUAUGCCCUUGGGAAGAAGGCAGCGUGGCUCUUUUCAGCCUGGAGCCGAACUGCUUCCAUGAGCCAGGCAUAAGGCUGCAAAGAGGACCAGAGGAGGAAAACACUGUAAUACUGAGAUAUCAGCAGGUUAACAAUUGUGAAUGCUUCCUUAGCUGGGUGAACCCAAUUCACCACCAGCAAGCAGGAAUUCACAGUAAAGAGUGAGCUCCAAGAACUAAACAGGCAGAGUUCUUUCUAGAAUAAACCAAGGUCGUUGUGGAGGUUGCUGGCAAGGAAGUCUGAAGUGGC